AGUAUUCAUGUUUGCUUCGAUCGAAAAUUUUUUGAACUCAAUCUUGCUAAUCACAUAGAACUACUCCUUUUCUACCAAGAUCGAUAGAUUUUAUGUAGAUAUUUCCUACUCUAACAACGAACUGAACCUAUUGUAGCCAACAUAUACAGCAAAGAUCCGAAUAGCUAGGGAUCAAGAAAAAGUGCAGUCAACUCAGUAGCCUCACUGCGAAUAGCCAAUGACACCGCAGGUCAAAAGAUCACUCACACCACUGC
rnacentral:lncRNA from 1 species